CUCCUUAACCCACCCACACGCCACACCCCACUUCCCUCUCUCUCCCUUUAACCCCUCCCUCUGUCUCUCUACCCAAUUUCUUUCUAUCUCAGCCAAACAAAAUCUAUGCAUCUCUCUCUACCACUCUUACUUCUCUCAGAUCUGAGAUUUUCUUUCGUUUUUUUCUUGGAAAAACACCUGUGCAUCAGAUUUGAGAAACACCAACGCCUCCGCAUCUCUCUCAAUCUCAAUCGAUCCGUCUCUCCCUCUCGUAGCAUCUCACGCUCAGAUCCCAACUGUCUGUCGUUUGAGAAAGAACUUGAAGAAAUGCAAGAGAAGCUUCAGGCAACGAGGCUUUAGAAGGAGAAACCGAGAAGCUCCUUAAGAAGGAGGAGAUCUUGAAGUUCAAGAAGGAAGAGCUCCAAACAAAGGGCCAAGAGCAAGACAAGCUUCAGAUGGAGUUGAAGAAGCUGCAGGACUUCAAACUCGUCGAGUCGGUUAAGUCUGAGAUCGGAUCUAAGAUUUUGAGGAAGCACCAUCGUCUUCACUAUUCCUCAGAUCAAUGCCAUAAGGAGGACUUAUCAUUGUCGUGAUCAUCAGUACCUAUAUGGCUAUCUAGCUUGUGGUUGUGCUGGUCUCUCUAUCGGUAUGGCUAUCAGCAUUGUUGAUGAUGUCGGUGUUAGCAUGAAGCUACAAGUAGCAACAUUGUCAGGCACAAGGAGUUUAGUCUUCAAACACUUGGAAUUGGUGGCUUAGGUGCUGAGUUUGCAGAUAUAUUUCGAAGAGCUUUUGUAUCCCAUGUUUUCCCUCCUCACAUGACAAAUAAAUUGUUAAUGGCCCUGAAGUUUUGAGCAAGUUGGUGAAACUAAGAAAAAUGUUAGGAAUCUAUAUGCUGAUGCUGAGAAUGAUCAAAGGGCUCGUGGUAAGGGAAAUAUAUACAUGUCAAGUGCACUUAGGCUGGUUUUUCAAUAAUUUCUAAUCUCAUUAUGCCCUUAAUUCCCCUGGAGACCAGAGUGGUUUGCAUGCGAUAAUCUUUGAUGAAAUGGAUGCUAUUUGUAAGAAAAAGUUGUGGGACUCUCAGUUUAAGCGAGAAGAGAAUGUGGUUUAAGUGAGCUUCAUUGCACUAAGAACUUGGGUCCAUCGGCUGUAGUGUUGUGGGGGAGGAUAGGAUUCUGAAGGACUUGGUUGUAAAUAACUGAAAUACAUGUAUAUUGUGGGAUUUGUUGUAAAUAACUAAAGUAUGUGUAUAUUAUGGGAUUUGUUGAUUUAAAA